rnacentral:lncRNA from 1 species
UUCCAUGUUAUUACGUGUGGCAGCCAGCCAAACAAGCUCUAGAUUUUUAUUUUGUUUUGAGAUUCUAAUGCUCCUUUACCUUGGGGGUUGGGUAUAAAUUCUGCAACUUCGUGUAAGUUUACUAAGAACUUGGAUUAUCGUCUUUUUAGGUAAAUCUGUCUGACAGUUCUGCUGGUAAAGAGGCUAGGAUACAAGAGGUUGAAGCUAAAUUUACCCAUUGUCAGGCAAUGUGAAACCGUAUUACCCAGGCAUGAUCAUAAAAUGGAUGAAGUAAUACUGAGAUGCAGAGUUCUUAAGUUGUGACAUCCCUUUACUCUUUGGCGUAUUAAUACCGCCUAAUAUAAUUUCCACCGAGCAUCUAGAAUGGGGAGGCCUAAUGUUACCUUGUUGCAGUUGCAGGUAAAAACACUAAAUCCUUGCAUCCUAAUCACCCGCGAGCAGCAGGAAAAGAUAUGUAAUUCAACACAAGAAGAGAGGAAAACAUAUGCUAGCUGCCUGUACUUUUCCGAACAGUUGCAACAAAAUAUUCAGAGGUGCCAACUUGCGUGAGAAAAUAGAAGAGAAGAAAGUUCUAACUGCUCCAAUUAGUGUCGUGCCAGAUAUGUUGAUUUCCAAAGGAAAUAAUCUACGCAAGCUUGAGGAGAAGAAAUUUCUGCAGAUUGGCUCCGUGCACUACUAGAGAACUCGGUAUUAGUACCGGUUCGUAGACUGCAUAUCUCCCGAAAAUGCAACCGGGAUUAAUCC